GACGAACGCUGGCGGCGUGCUUAACACAUGCAAGUCGAACGAAGAGCGAUGGAAGCUUGCUUCUAUCAAUCUUAGUGGCGAACGGGUGAGUAACGCGUAAUCGACCUGCCCUUCAGAGGGGGACAACAGUUGGAAACGACUGCUAAUACCGCAUACGAUCUAAUCUCGGCAUCGAGGAUAGAUGAAAGGUGGCCUCUACAUGUAAGCUAUCACUGAAGGAGGGGAUUGCGUCUGAUUAGCUAGUUGGAGGGGUAACGGCCCACCAAGGCGAUGAUCAGUAGCCGGUCUGAGAGGAUGAACGGCCACAUUGGGACUGAGACACGGCCCAGACUCCUACGGGAGGCAGCAGUGGGGAAUCUUCCGCAAUGGACGAAAGUCUGACGGAGCAACGCCGCGUGAGCGAUGACGGCCUUCGGGUUGUAAAGCUCUGUUAAUCGGGACGAAAGGCCUUCUUGCGAAUAGUGAGAAGGAUUGACGGUACCGGAAGAGAAAGCCACGGCUAACUACGUG
rnacentral:rRNA from 1 species